rnacentral:rRNA from 1 species
CCUACGGGAGGCAGCAGUGAGGAAUAUUGGUCAAUGGACGAGAGUCUGAACCAGCCCAGUAGCGUGAAGGAUGACUGCCCUAUGGGUUGUAAACUUCUUUUAUAAAGGAAUAAAACGAGGCACGUGUGCCUUUUUGCAUGUACUUUAUGAAUAAGGAUCGGCUAACUCCGUGCCAGCAGCCGCGGUAAUACGGAGGAUCCGAGCGUUAUCCGGAUUUAUUGGGUUUAAAGGGAGCGGAGAUGGGUUGUUAAGUCAGUUGUGAAAGUUUGCGGCUCAACCGUAAAAUUGCAAUUGAUACUGGCAGUCGUGAGUACAGUUGAGGUAGGCGGAAUUCGUGGUGUAGCGGUGAAAUGCUUAGAUAUCACGAAGAACCCCGAUUGCGAAGGCAGCUUACUAAACUGUGACUGACAUUGAUGCUCGAAAGUGUGGGUAUCAAACAGGAUUAGAUACCCCAGUAGUC